CACGUAGGGGCCAAGCGUUGUCCGGAUUUAUUGGGCGUAAAGGGCGCGUAGGCGGCCUGGUCAGUCGGAUGUGAAAGCCCGGGGCUCAACCCCGGAACGGCAUCCGAGACGGCCAGGCUGGAGACCGGGAGAGGAGAGUGGAAUAGCCAGUGUAGAGGUGAAAUUCGUAGAUAUUGGCUGGAACACCGGUGGCGAAAGCGGCUCUCUGGCCCGGUUCUGACGCUGAGGCGCGAAAGCGUGGGGAGCAAACAGG
rnacentral:rRNA from 1 species